rnacentral:rRNA from 1 species
UAGAGGGUUUCCGCCCUUUAGUGCUGAAGUUAACGCAUUAAGCACUCCGCCUGGGGAGUACGGCCGCAAGGCUGAAAAUAAAAGGAAUAGACGGGGGCCCGCACAAGCGGUGGAGCAUGUGGUUAAUUCGAAGCAACGCGGGAACCUUACCAGGUCUGACAUCCUCUGAAAACCCUAGAGAUAGGGUUAUCCUUCGGGAGCAGAGUGACAGGUGGUGCAUGGUUGUGUCAGCUCGUGUCGUGAGAUGUUGGGUUAAGUCCCGCAACGAGCGCAACCCUUGAUCUUAGUUGCCAUCACUAAGUUGGGCACUCUAAGGUGACUGCCGGUGACAAACCGGAGGAAGGUGGGGAUGACGUCAAAUCAUCAUGCCCCUUAUGACCUGGGCUACACACGUGCUACAAUGGACGGUACAAAGAGCUGCAAGACCGCGAGGUGGAGCUAAUCUCAUAAAACCGUUCUCAGUUCGGAUUGUAGGCUGCAACUCGCCUACAUGAAGCUGGAAUCGCUAGUAAUCGCGGAUCAGCAUGCCGCGGUGAAUACGUUCCCGCGCCUUGUACACACCGCCCGUCACACCACGAGAGUUUGUAACACCCGAAGUCGGUGGGGUAACCCUUUGACGCCAGCACCUCGUAGUGUGACCGUCAUUGGG